AGGUUCGAUCAUACCACGGUGAAAAUACCCGUUCCCAUCAGCACACAAGUCAAGCACCGUCGAGUGAGAUUAGUACUCUGGUCGGGGACGACACGAGAUCCCCUCGUAUCGAUGUGU